rnacentral:rRNA from 1 species
AGAGUUUGAUCAUGGCUCAGAACGAACGCUGGCGGCAGGCUUAACACAUGCAAGUCGAACGCCCCGCAAGGGGAGUGGCAGACGGGUGAGUAACGCGUGGGAAUCUACCCAAUCCUUCGGAAUAGCUCCGGGAAACUGGAAUUAAUACCGAGUACGCCCUACGGGGGAAAGAUUUAUCGGGGUUGGAUGAGCCCGCGUUGGAUUAGCUAGUUGGUGGGGUAAUGGCCUACCAAGGCGACGAUCCAUAGCUGGUCUGAGAGGACGACCAGCCACACUGGGACUGAGACACGGCCCAGACUCCUACGGGAGGCAGCAGUGGGGAAUCUUGGACAAUGGGCGCAAGCCUGAUCCAGCCAUGCCGCGUGGAUGAUGAAGGCCCUAGGGUUGUAAAAUCCUUUCGUUGGGGACGAUAAUGACGGUACCCAAAGAAGAAGCUCCGGCUAACUUCGUGCCAGCCGCCGCGGUAAUAC